UGUGGGCCUGCUGUUUUUGCGACUGUUGGAGCAACUAGGGCCACAGCUCUUGUAUUCUAUAUUUGGAACCUUUUGCUUAAUGGCAGUGGCUUUUGUAAAAAGAAAUGUUGUGGAAACCAAAGGAAAAUCACUCCAAGAAAUUGAGAUAGCUCUUCUUCCGCAGGAAUAAUGGAAGUUAUUUUCCUGUUUAAAGAAACUUCAGUAUAACAGAUGUAAGCAAGUGUUGCUUAUCUGAUAAAAGGUAUUCGUGCGGCUGAAGCAAGAUGAGAUACCAGAAUGUUAGAAUUGUCGAUUGGAAAACCCUUGCAUAUCUACAAAUAUGAUCGGGUAAAUGCUGCAUAUGAGUUCUAGUGGAGUGUGAUCUAGCCUUUAUUUCACUGGUCAAAUUUCAGCAC
rnacentral:lncRNA from 1 species